rnacentral:lncRNA from 1 species
CUGGUCAUGGCUGCAAAAAUUUCUACGCCAAACCUUCACUGUGGCAUCAUCCGAGGCUGUGUACAGGACCCCAUCAUCAGCCACAAUCAUGGCGUUUAUUGGUUCAGGGUGAGCCUUUAUGGUCUCUAUGCACUUCAGGUCUGAGAUUCGCCACACUUUCACCGUUUUGUCCAGUGAAGCUGUGUAUAAAAUGUCUUCUGCUGUGUUGAUUGCCAUUGACGUGAUUAUCCCCUUGUGCAUCUGUUAAUGAUGGACAAAGUUAACUGUUUCAGCUCUUAGUUUGAACAAUAUAGUAAUUGGUUUUUAUCUUUUCUGAUAACUCGCCAGCAGGAAAACCGUUGUAAAUGCUUCUGUUGUUACAGCUGAGGAGUCACUAAGAUAAGGCAAUAUUAAAAACAGCAUUUUUAAUGUGGUACGAGAGACGGUUGAAGCACGUGGGCAGUUAAAAACACUGACAAAGGUAGCAGAUACUUACUGUC